CAGGGUUGUUAUGAGGCUCAAAGGAACGGCUGCUGUGAAAAAACAUGCUUUGCAAUUUAUGAAGCACUGGAUAAACAUCAGGAACGGUAUAAAAGCAUGCUGCUUACUCAAGAAAUACUAGUUGAGUGCCUGUGUGUUGGGCACUGGCUAGAGAUAAGGGUCUCCUAUGGACAGAAGUGCGGGCAAGGAGCUUUGUUCCUCCCCGAUGUCACCCUCCCACAGCCCACUUGCUAGCAGGCAAGAGAGGGGUGGAGGCCGGCAGUAAGGCAUGUACUGAACUGGACCUCUGGUGGAAUGGGUCACCCACGCUGGGCUUGACUCUUACCAUCAGGGUCCUGCCAACCCUUCAGUGAGACUUUUUCCGAAGAAUCCCUUUUAAAAUGACCUCAAGCUGACCUUCCUGAUGCAGAUUCCACAUAUGGUAUCUGAGACUCACACAGUGUGGUUGGAAGAUAGCACAGUGACCUCCCAGGCACAGCCCUCUGCCAGCCCUCCACUGGCUGCCCUAGGAUGCUGGCCUUCCUCCGAUGGGAGUCGGGCCCAGUCUGCUGUGAGCCAGGAGAAGCCAGCAAGCUCCCUGCGAGGCCUGGAGGAGCCCUUCUCACUCAGCUUGGUGUUCGAUGCCAGUGCCCCCGCCCAUUGUGGGGUGAGGGUGGGACUCUCAGCACAGCCCUGUCCAAAUAAAUCCUCUAAAGCCCUCUUC
rnacentral:lncRNA from 1 species